rnacentral:rRNA from 1 species
AAUAGAUACCCGGGUAGUCCACGCCGUAAACGAUGAGUGCUAAGUGUUAGAGGGUUUCCGCCCUUUAGUGCUGCAGCUAACGCAUUAAGCACUCCGCCUGGGGAGUACGGCCGCAAGGCUGAAACUCAAAGGAAUUGACGGGGGCCCGCACAAGCGGUGGAGCAUGUGGUUUAAUUCGAAGCAACGCGAAGAACCUUACCAGGUCUUGACAUCCUUUGCCAACCCUAGAGAUAGGGCGUUCCCCUUCGGGGGACAGAGUGACAGGUGGUGCAUGGUUGUCGUCAGCUCGUGUCGUGAGAUGUUGGGUUAAGUCCCGCAACGAGCGCAACCCUUGAUCUUAGUUGCCAGCAUUCAGUUGGGCACUCUAAGGUGACUGCCGGUGACAAACCGGAGGAAGGUGGGGAUGACGUCAAAUCAUCAUGCCCCUUAUGACCUGGGCUACACACGUGCUACAAUGGAUGGUACAAAGAGCUGCGAACCCGCGAGGGUAAGCGAAUCUCAUAAAGCCAUUCUCAGUUCGGA